GCCGAAGUGGUGAAAUUGGCAAACACGCUGCGUUCAGGUCGCAGUGACCGCAAGGUCUUGGGGGUUCAAGUCCCCCCUUCGGCA
rnacentral:tRNA from 1 species